rnacentral:rRNA from 1 species
GAUGAACGCUAGCGGCAGGCCUAAUACAUGCAAGUCGAACGGGAUCCAGAUCAAAGCUUGCUUUGGUCUGGUGAGAGUGGCGCACGGGUGCGUAACGCGUGAGCAACCUACCCUUGUCAGGGGGAUAGCCCGGCGAAAGUCGGAUUAAUACCGCAUGACAUCAUUGAGAGGCAUCUUUCGAUGAUCAAAGAUUUAUCGGACAAGGAUGGGCUCGCGUGACAUUAGCUAGUUGGUAAGGUAACGGCUUACCAAGGCUGCGAUGUCUAGGGGCUCUGAGAGGAGAAUCCCCCACACUGGUACUGAGACACGGACCAGACGCCUACGGGAGGCAGCAGUAAGGAAUAUUGGUCAAUGGACGGAAGUCUGAACCAGCCAUGCCGCGUGCAGGAGGACGGCGCUAUGGGUUGUAAACUGCUUUUAUACGGGAACAAACGUCGGUACGUGUACCGGUCUGAGUGUACCGUAAGAAUAAGGAUCGGCUAACUCCGUG